UACAGAGGGGGCGAGCGUUAUUCGGAAUUAUUGGGCGUAAAGGGCGCGUAGGCGGCCUUUCAAGUGACGGGUGAAAUCCCUCGGCUUAACCGAGGAACUGCCUGUCAGACUGGAAGGCUUGAGACCGGGAGAGGUGAGUGGAAUUCCCAGUGUAGCGGUGAAAUGCGUAGAUAUCGGGAGGAACACCAGUGGCGAAGGCGGCUCACUGGCCCGUUACCGACGCUCAGGCGCGACAGCGUGGGGAGCAAACAGG
rnacentral:rRNA from 1 species